GUCCUCUCAGGGUCGCACCUGGAGAGUUUCCAGGACUCUACCAGUCUCGACUAUAGGAGGGAGAGUCAAGUAGAUGCAUAACCAGUCCAUCCCUAGCUUGGCGAGUGGCUAGUGAGUGGAAGGCAAUCUGUUACAGGU